GGGAUAACUACUGGAAACGGUAGCUAAUACCGCAUAAUGUCGCAAGACCAAAGAGGGGGACCUUCGGGCCUCUUGCCAUCAGAUGUGCCCAGAUGGGAUUAGCUUGUUGGUGGGGUAACGGCUCACCAAGGCGACGAUCCCUAGCUGGUCUGAGAGGAUGACCAGCCACACUGGAACUGAGACACGGUCCAG
rnacentral:rRNA from 1 species